GCUCCCAUCGUCUAGUGGUCCAGGACGCAUGAUUCUCAAUCAUGCAACACCGGUUCGACUCCGGUUGGGAGCGCCA
rnacentral:tRNA from 3 species